AUGGAGAGUUUGAUCCUGGCUCAGGACGAACGCUGGCGGCGGGCCUAACACAUGCAAGUCGAAGGAGAAGGAAGGAGCUUGCUCUUUCUGGAGACUGGCGCACGGGUGAGUAACGCGUAGACAACCUGCCUAUAGCUGGGGGAUAACUUCGGGAAACCGGAGCUAAUACCGCAUAAUGCAGCGGGGCCGCAUGGCCACAGUUGUUAAAGAUUUAUUGGCUAUAGAUGGGUCUGCGUGCUAUUAGUUAGUUGGUAGGGUAAUGGCCUACCAAGACGAUGAUAGCUAGGGGGUCUGAGAGGAUGAUCCCCCACACUGGAACUGAGACACGGUCCAGACUCCUACGGGAGGCAGCAGUGAGGAAUCUUGCGCAAUGGAGGAAACUCUGACGCAGCCACGCCGCGUGCCGGAAGACGGCCCUAUGGGUUGUAAACGGCUUUUG
rnacentral:rRNA from 1 species